rnacentral:rRNA from 1 species
GACAGAGGUGCCAAGCGUUAGGCGGAAUCACUGGGCUUAAAGCGUGUGUAGGUGGACUGGUAAGUACCUUGUGAAAUCCCACGGCUCAACCGUGGAACUGCUUGGUAUACUGCUGGUCUUGAGCAGCCUAGGGGCGAGCGGAACAAAUGGUGGAGCGGUGAAAUGCGUAGAUAUCAUUUGGAACGCCAAUGGUGAAAACAGCUCGCUGGGGGCUCGCUGACACUGAGACACGAAAGCCAGGGGAGCAAACGGG